UACGGAGGAUGCGAGCGUUAUCCGGAUUUAUUGGGUUAAAGGGUGCGUAGGCGGACUGUCAAGUCAGCGGUAAAAUUGAGAGGCUCAACCUCUUCCCGCCGUUGAAACUGGUGGUCUUGAGUGGAUGAGAAGUACGCGGAAUGCGUGGUGUAGCGGUGAAAUGCAUAGAUAUCACGCAGAACUCCGAUUGCGAAGGCAGCGUACCGGCAUCCAACUGACGCUGAGGCACGAAAGCGUGGGGAUCAAACAGG
rnacentral:rRNA from 1 species